rnacentral:lncRNA from 1 species
GCGCACCACGCUGGAGACCGGGAUGUCUCCUCAGGCACUGAGGGGGGUCGGUGCCUGGGAUCUUGCGUUACCUGCGAGGGAGCAGCUGGAGCCUUGCGUCCUGGCAUUUUUGUCUGAAGAAACAUUCCAGCAUGUGGAGGCAAGUGUGCCGACAGCAGGUUUGCUGUGCACUAAGUCCUGCAAUGACCACGUGGGUCCAUGGAUUAUAGUCCUGCUUGGUCCACUGGGCGAAGAACUCUAGUCACAGCUCCCUGCUUCCCCGAUAGCCAUUGCAGUGCUCUGACCACGGGGCCAUAGCAACACUCUUUCCAGGGAUCUACAGUGCUAGGUCAGA